rnacentral:rRNA from 1 species
CAAAAACAUGUCCUUCUGUUUAUUUAUUUAAGGUCUGACCUGCCCAAUGAGGAAUUGAAUGGCCGCAGUAUUUUAACUGUGCUAAGGUAGCAUAAUCAUUUGUCUUUUAAUUGAGGGCUGGAAUGAAAGGUUGGACGAGAUAUUAACUUUCUUUAGUUUAAUUAUAAGAAUUUAAUUUUUUAGUUAAAAAGCUAAAAUUUAUUUGUUGGACGAGAAGACCCUAUAGAUCUUUAUAAUUUUAUACUUUAAUAGUGUAGGGAAUAUUCUUUUUUGAAGUAAAUUAAUUAUUUUGUUGGGGUGACUGUAGAAUUUAAUUAACUUCUAUUUAUUAGAAUCAUUUAUUAGUGUUUUAUUGAUCCAUAUAUUUAUGAUUAGAAGAUUAAGUUACCUUAGGGAUAACAGCGUAAUUUUUUCGGAGAGUUCAUAUUGAUGAAGAAGUUUGCGACCUCGAUGUUGGAUUAAAAUAAGUUAUAGAUGCAGGAGUUUAUUUACUAGGUCUGUUCGACCUUUAAAUUUUUACAUGAUCUGAGUUC